UAGCUACAGGCUUAACACAUGCAAGUCGAGGGGAAACGAUAUUGGAAGCUUGCUUCCGAUAGGCGUCGACCGGCGCACGGGUGAGUAACGCGUAUCCAACCUGCCCACCACUUGGGAAUAACCUUGCGAAAGUAAGACUAAUGCCCAAUGAUAUCUCUAGAAGACAUCUGAAAGAGAUUAAAGAUUUAUCGGUGAUGGAUGGGGAUGCGUCUGAUUAGCUUGUUGGCGGGGUAACGGCCCACCAAGGCAACGAUCAGUAGGGGUUCUGAGAGGAAGGUCCCCCACAUUGGAACUGAGACACGGUCCAAACUCCUACGGGAGGCAGCAGUGAGGAAUAUUGGUCAAUGGGCGAGAGCCUGAACCAGCCAAGUAGCGUGCAGGAAGACGGCCCUAUGGGUUGUAAACUGCUUUUAUAAGGGAAUAAAGUGGGAGUCGUGACUCUUUUUGCAUGUACCUUAUGAAUAAGGACCGGCUAAUUCCGUGCCAGCAGCCGCGGUAAUACGGAAGGUCCGGGCGUUAUCCGGAUUUAUUGGGUUUAAAGGGAGCGUAGGCCGGAGAUUAAGCGUGUUGUGAAAUGUAGACGCUCAACGUCUGCACUGCAGCGCGAACUGGUUUCCUUGAGUACGCACAAAGUGGGCGGAAUUCGUGGUGUAGCGGUGAAAUGCUUAGAUAUCACGAAGAACUCCGAUUGCGAAGGCAGCUCACUGGAGCGCAACUGACGCUGAAGCUCGAAAGUGCGGGUAUCGAACAGGAUUAGAUACCCUGGUAGUCCGCACGGUAAACGAUGGAUGCCCGCUGUUGGUCUGAAUAGGUCAGCGGUCAAGCGAAAGCAUUAAGCAUCCCACCUGGGGAGUACGCCGGCAACGGUGAAACUCAAAGGAAUUGACGGGGGCCCGCACAAGCGGAGGAACAUGUGGUUUAAUUCGAUGAUACGCGAGGAACCUUACCCGGGCUUGAAUUGCAGAGGAAGGAUUUGGAGACAAUGACGCCCUUCGGGGUCUCUGUGAAGGUGCUGCAUGGUUGUCGUCAGCUCGUGCCGUGAGGUGUCGGCUUAAGUGCCAUAACGAGCGCAACCCCUCUCCUUAGUUGCCAUCAGGUCACGCUGGGCACUCUGGGGACACUGCCACCGUAAGGUGU
rnacentral:rRNA from 1 species